UUCAGCCGCGAUAGGUAGUCCCCAUCCAUUUGGCCCUGAAUGAGGUCGGCGGGCUUAUUUUCAUAAACCUUUACCGUCUCCAAGUACCGUCCGCAUUCUUCCAAACUCCAUCCACACAACAGAGUGCAAUCAUGAAGGAGAGAAGUUCUGGUAACUUCAAGUAAAGGCUUCAUAACAUCUUCAACAUCAACAUGGCACAAAAUUAUGCGGAGUCUAAAGUUCUUCUGCAACUCCCUUAUCCGAAAAUACAAGUAGUCUGGAUGAAGCAGGUGAUACCGGAGGCUAUUGCCAGAAACUAUAUGAU
rnacentral:misc_RNA from 1 species